UACGUAGGCGGUUCUUUAAGUCAGAUGUGAAAGCCCGAGGCUCAACCUCGGGAUUGCAUUUGAAACUGAAGAACUAGAGUACAGGAGAGGUAAGUGGAAUUCCUAGUGUAGAGGUGAAAUUCGUAGAUAUUAGGAGGAACACCAGUGGCGAAGGCGACUUACUGGACUGAUACUGACGCUGAGGUACGAAAGCGUGGGGAGCAAACAGGAUUAGAUACCCUGGUAGUCC
rnacentral:rRNA from 1 species